CUACCAUGCAAGUCGACGAUGAGCCCAGCUUGCUGGGUGGAUUAGUGGCGAACGGGUGAGUAACACGUGAGUAACCUGCCCUUAACUCUGGGAUAAGCCUGGGAAACUGGGUCUAAUACCGGAUAGGAGCGUCCACCGCAUGGUGGGUGUUGGAAAGAUUUAUCGGUUUUGGAUGGACUCGCGGCCUAUCAGCUUGUUGGUGAGGUAAUGGCUCACCAAGGCGACGACGGGUAGCCGGCCUGAGAGGGUGACCGGCCACACUGGGACUGAGACACGGCCCAGACUCCUACGGGAGGCAGCAGUGGGGAAUAUUGCACAAUGGGCGAAAGCCUGAUGCAGCGACGCCGCGUGAGGGAUGACGGCCUUCGGGUUGUAAACCUCUUUCAGUAGGGGAGAAGCGAAAGUGACGGGUACCUGCAGAAGAAGCACCGGCUAACUACGUGCCAGCAGCCGCGGUAAUACGUAGGGUGCGAGCGUUAUCCGGAAUUAUUGGGCGUAAAGAGCUCGUAGGCGGUUUGUCGCGUCUGUCGUGAAAGUCCGGGGCUUAACCCCGGAUCUGCGGUGGGUACGGGCAGACUAGAGUGCAGUAGGGGAGACUGGAAUUCCUGGUGUAGCGGUGGAAUGCGCAGAUAUCAGGAGGAACACCGAUGGCGAAGGCAGGUCUCUGGGCUGUAACUGACGCUGAGGAGCGAAAGCAUGGGGAGCGAACAGGAUUAGAUACCCUGGUAGUCCAUGCCGUAAACGUUGGGCACUAGGUGUGGGGACCAUUCCACGGUUUCCGCGCCGCAGCUAACGCAUUAAGUGCCCCGCCUGGGGAGUACGGCCGCAAGGCUAAAACUCAAAGGAAUUGACGGGGGCCCGCACAAGCGGCGGAGCAUGCGGAUUAAUUCGAUGCAACGCGAAGAACCUUACCAAGGCUUGACAUGUUCUCGAUCGCCGUAGAGAUACGGUUUCCCCUUUGGGGUGGGUUCACAGGUGGUGCAUGGUUGUCGUCAGCUCGUGUCGUGAGAUGUUGGGUUAAGUCCCGCAACGAGCGCAACCCUCGUUCCAUGUUGCCAGCACGUCGUGGUGGGGACUCAUGGGAGACUGCCGGGGUCAACUCGGAGGAAGGUGAGGACGACGUCAAAUCAUCAUGCCCCUUAUGUCUUGGGCUUCACGCAUGCUACAAUGGCCGGUACAAUGGGUUGCGAUACUGUGAGGUGGAGCUAAUCCCAAAAAGCCGGUCUCAGUUCGGAUUGGGGUCUGCAACUCGACCCCAUGAAGUCGGAGUCGCUAGUAAUCGCAG
rnacentral:rRNA from 1 species